GGAGAGAUGGCUCAGUGGUUAAGAGCACUGACUGCUCUUCCAGAGGUCCUGAGUUCAAUUCCCAGCAACCACG
rnacentral:tRNA from 1 species